rnacentral:rRNA from 1 species
UACAGAGGUCCCAAGCGUUGAUCGGAUUCACUGGGCGUAAAGGGUGCGUAGGCGGUCGGGUAAGUCUGGCGUGAAAUCUCCAAGCCUAACUUGGAAACUGCGUUGGAUACUAUCCGGCUCGAGGAAUGGAGGGGAGACUGGAAUACUUGGUGUAGCAGUGAAAUGCGUAGAUAUCAAGUGGAACACCAGUGGCGAAGGCGAGUCUCUGGACAUUUCCUGACGCUGAGGCACGAAAGCCAGGGGAGCAAACGGG